rnacentral:rRNA from 1 species
CAGAGGGUGCAAGCGUUAAUCGGAUUUACUGGGCGUAAAGCGUGUGUAGGUGGUUGUUCAAGUCGGUUGUGAAAGCCCCGGGCUCAACCUGGGAAUUGCUUCCGAGACUGAGCGACUAGAGUACGGUAGAGGGUAGUGGAAUUUCCGGUGUAGCGGUGAAAUGCGUAGAUAUCGGAAGGAACACCAAUGGCGAAGGCAACUACCUGGGCCUGUACUGACACUGAGACACGAAAGCGUGGGGAUCAAACAGGAUU